CACACACCCACACACACCGGAGGUCCCCGGACCCCAGUUUGUGCACCACUGAGCCUGGCUGCAGCAGCUGAAGAAUCCCCCUUAUGAUAUGGAGGCAACGCGCGUUGACGUGUCGCGCUGCGCUUCCGAUCUAUAGUAUCGGUAUGCGUCUUCUGCACGCGCACACACAAACGCACAGCACUCUCAUGGGGACAUGCGGCCAGCAGACGCAGCCACGAACUCCCGUCAGACUCCGAAUGGCAGAUGGACUCUCCAGGAAAGGCGGUACGAAGUCCUCCAGCAUCCAUCUGUGGCAGUCAAAAUGGAUGCUGCAACAGCCAUGCUCUGACGGCCAUCUUGGUUUCAGCGCGGCAGCAGGGGGACUGUACAAUACUAAUAGGCAGAGAGGGAGAUGAGGAGGGUGAAAUGGCACCUUUGCUUCUUUGCCGCAUGCACCUCAGCCCCAAAUUUGUUUAAUUGAUUUAUUAUUUAUAUUUAUUUUAGAGAUUCUGACAAUUUUUCAGCUCAGCUCCCUUUAAUCUUCCCACAUGACUCUGGUGUGAACAGCGGUUGCAAAAAUCCUGAUAUCCAUCCAAAAGAUUUAAAUUUUUAGCUGAAAAUUAAAAGUUAACAAAAGCAUUCAGUCAUGCCAGGAGCUCCGUGAGGCUGUAAUUGGCCACGGCAGUGCCUUGAGCUAAAUGCUAAUGCCACUAUGCUAAUGUGCUGAUAUUUAUCAGGUAUUUGCCAGGUUUAACCUGAUUGCUUUGGUGUGUUAGUAGUGUGUUAACGUUUUCUUUAAUUAGCAC